UACGGAGGAUCCAAGCGUUAUCCGGAAUCAUUGGGUUAAGGUCCGUAGGCGGCCCUGUAAGUCAGUGGUGAAUCUCCGGCUCAACCGGGAAAUUGCCAUUGAUACUGCAGGGCUUGAAUUAGCUAGGAAGUAACUAGGAAUAUGUAGUGUAGCGGUGAAAUGCUUAGAGAUUACAUGGAAUACCAUGCGAAGGCAGGUUACUACUAGUGGAUUGACGCUGAUGGACGAAAGGCGUGGGUAGCGAACAGG
rnacentral:rRNA from 1 species